rnacentral:rRNA from 1 species
GUUACGGCUCACCAAGGCGACGAUCCCUAGCUGGUCUGAGAGGAUGACCAGCCACACUGGAACUGAGACACGGUCCAGACUCCUACGGGAGCCAGCAGUGGGGAAUAUUGCACAAUGGGCGCAAGCCUGAUGCAGCCAUGCCGCGUGUAUGAAGACGGCCUUCGGGUGGUAAAGUACUUUCAGCGGGGAGGAAGGUGUUGUGGUUAAUAACCGCAAGCAAUUGACGUUACCGGCAGGAGAAGCACCGGGCUAACUCCCGUGCCAGCAGCCGCGGUAAUACGGAGGGUGCAAAGCGUUAAUCGGGAAUUUACUGGGCGUAAAGCGCACGCAGGCGGUCUGUCAAGUCGGAUGUGAAAUCCCCGGGCUCAACCUGGGAACUGCAUUCGAAACUGGCAGGCUUGAGUCUUGUAGAGGGGGGGUAGAAUCCAGGUGUAGCGGUGAAAUGCGUAGAGAUCUGGAGGAAUACCGGUGGCGAAGGCGGCCCCCUGGACAAAGACUGACGCUCAGGUGCGAAAGCGUGGGGAGCAAACAGGAUUAGAUACCCUGGUAGUCCACGCCGUAAACGAUGUCUACUUGGAGGUUGUGCCCUUGAGGCGUGGCUUCCGGAGCUAACGCGUUAAGUAGACCGCCUCGGGCAGUACGGCCGCAAGGUUAAAACUCAAAUGAAUUGACGGGGGGCCCGCACAAGCGGUGGGAGCAUGUGGGUUUAAUUCGAUGCAACGCGAAGAAACCUUACCUGGUUCUUGACAUCCACAGAAGGAAUCCAGAGAUGGGAUUUGGUGCCUUCGGGAACUGUGAGACAGGGUGCCUGCCAUGGCCUGUCGUCAGCUCGUGUUGUGAAAUGUUGGGUUAAGUCCCGCAACGAGGCGCAACCCUUAUCCUGUUGUUGAUUGCRGUUAGGCCGGGAACUCAAAGGAGUCUGCCAGUGAUAAACUGGAGGAAGGUGGGGAAGACGUCAAGUC